UACGGAGGGAGCAAGCGUUAUUCGGAAUCACUGGGCGUAAAGGACGCGUAGGCGGGUUAGUAAGUCAGGUGUGAAAUCCUACAGCUCAACUGUAGAACUGCACUUGAAACUACUAACCUAGAGUAUGGAAGGGGCAGAUGGAAUUAGUGGUGUAGGGGUAAAAUCCGUAGAUAUCACUAGGAAUACCGAAAGCGAAGGCGAUCUGCUGGGACAUUACUGACGCUGAGGCGUGAAAGCGUGGGGAGCAAACAGG
rnacentral:rRNA from 1 species